UGGAAAGGAGAUAGAGUCCCAAGGAAACGGAACAGAAAUAAAUAUCAAGGCUUCCGCUACAACUGUUCCCUAGGUUUUGUUCUCUAGGGUUCAAUCAUGGGUUCCAAGGUCGAGGAUCCAAAGGUGCAGGAAGAGCCAAGGGAAGAUCCACUCACUUUUUCGGAGAAGCCAAAGGUUGAGGCCAGCAGCGUCCACGAACAAUCUGAGGAGAAGGUUGAGGAUGCGAUGGAUAAAGACAACCGCGAGCUAAUGGGGUGGAAACUUGAUUACGGUAGCGCUUUAGAAGACAGCUCAGAUAGUGAGCAUAGCGAAGAUUUAAAUGAUGAUGACAAGGUCGACAGGAAUAGUUUUAACAGAUAAUACUGGAGACAGCUUGAUCGGAGCGAAGUUUUUUUUUUCGUCGAUCCCAGACUUUUACCAGGAUAUGAUUCAGCUUAUAUUCGUCCGCUUAAUAUUUAUGAUGAGGAUGAUUUCUUUACCAAAAUGGUUAAGAAGGGCACUGAAUACGCUGUUGAGGAAUACAAUAAAAAAGAGGGUGCAGAGCUGAAACUUGAUAAUUAAUAUUUGCAACUGCUACUGGCUUUCAGCAUUAUGUAACAUUUUCGGGUGAAGAUGAAGUAUCAGGCAAAACAGGCACUUACCAGAUGUCUGUUACUCAAAAGUUGGAAGCUGAUAAUGUCUCAGAUGAAGCUGUAUAUAAAUAUUUCAAUUUUCUCAGGCCAGAACCAGAGAAAAUUAAUUUGCAGGCCGGAGUUCGUAACUGGUGGAAUUGAAGAUAAUGCAUUUGGAGUUUUGAGAGCCAAGGUGAACCUAUUGCAUCAAUUAACGAUGAUGGCAUAAUCCUGGAGGUUGGAAUUUGCAAAUGUCAGAAAAUCAAUAACAUACAAGAAUAAUUAAGAAGGCCAUGCACCUUGAUUAAAAUAAGGUUGUCUUGUGUUUUAGAUUUUAUUUGUUUAUUUAUUUUGAUAGAUUUAGGCUUGUUUUUUGAAUUUAAUUACAAUCAAA